rnacentral:rRNA from 1 species
GAUAAACGCUGGCGGCGUGCUUCAGGCAUGCAAGUCGAACGAGCGACCCCGGCUUGCCGGGGAAGCGAGUGGCGGACGGGUGAGUAACACGUAAGCAACCUGCCCAGAAGUGUGGAAUAACCCACCGAAAGGUGAGCUAAUACCGCAUGUGGUGGUCCUUCCCUGGAGGGAUCACUAAAGGAGUAAUUCGCUUUUGGAGGGGCUUGCGGCCGAUUAGCUAGUUGGUGGGGUAACGGCCUACCAAGGCGACGAUCGGUAGCUGGUCUGAGAGGACGGACAGCCACACGGGGACUGAGAUACGG